rnacentral:rRNA from 1 species
CCUACGGUGGGCAGCAGUGGGGAAUAUUGGACAAUGGGGGGAACCCUGAUCCAGCGACGCUGCGUGCGUGAAGAAGUAUUUCGGUAUGUAAAGCUCUAUCAGCAGGGAAGAAAAUGACGGUACCUGACUAAGAAGCUCCGGCUAACUACGUGCCAGCAGCCGCGGUAAUACGUAGGGGGCAAGCGUUAUCCGGAUUUACUGGGUGUAAAGGGAGCGUAGACGGUGCAGCAAGUCUGAUGUGAAAGGUCGUGGGCAAACCCCGGGACUGCGUUGGAAACUGUUGAGCUGGAGUACAGGCGAGGUAAGCGGAAUUCCUGGUGGAGCGGUGAAAUGCGUAGAUAUUAGGAGGAACACCAGUGGCGAAGGCGGCAGACUGGACUGUAACUGACGUUGAGGCUCGAAAGCGUGGGGAGCAAACAGGAUUAGAUACCCGAGUAGUC